rnacentral:pre_miRNA from 1 species
UUCAGACGUCUGUGUGUGUGUGUGUGUGUGUGUGUAUGCUCGCAUGUGCACACGCGUGCACGCAAC